CAAGCGGGGAAGGAUGAGAAGCUUCGACCAAGGUUCGACUUGAGCGCCAGCGAGAGAGCGUUGCCGCAGGCAACGACCCGAAGGGCGAAGCGCGCAGCGCUGAGUAAUCCUUCCCCCACCACCA
rnacentral:sRNA from 1 species